GUGGGGAAUUUUGGGCAAUGGGCGCAAGCCUGACCCAGCGACGCCGCGUGGGUGAUGAAGGCCUUCGGGUCGUAAAACCCUGUCAUGUGGGACGAAAGGUCCGGGCCCUAAUACGGCUCGGGCUUGACGGUACCGCAGGAGGAAGCCCCGGCCAACUCCGUGCCAGCAGCCGCGGUAAUACGGAGGGGGCGAGCGUUAUUCGGAAUCAUUGGGCGUAAAGGGCAGGUAGGCGGCCGCGCACGUCCUCUGUGAAAGCCCUCGGCUCAACCGAGGAACUGCAUGGGAAACGACGUGGCUUGAGUCCGGGAGAGGAGAGUGGAAUUCCCAGUGUAGCGGUGAAAUGCGUAGAUAUUGGGAGGAACACCGGUGGCGAAGGCGGCUCUCUGGACCGGCACUGACGCUGAGCUGCGAAAGCUAGGGGAGCAAACGGGAUUAGAAACCCCGGUAGUCC
rnacentral:rRNA from 1 species